ACGUAGGGUGCGAGCGUUAAUCGGAAUUACUGGGCGUAAAGCGUGCGCAGGCGGUUCGCUAAGACAGGUGUGAAAUCCCCGGGCUUAACCUGGGAAUGGCGCUUGUGACUGGCGGGCUGGAGUACGGCAGAGGGGGGUGGAAUUCCACGUGUAGCAGUGAAAUGCGUAGAGAUGUGGAGGAACACCGAUGGCGAAGGCAGCCCCCUGGGUCGACACUGACGCUCAGACGCGAAAGCUAGGGUAGCAAACGG
rnacentral:rRNA from 1 species